rnacentral:rRNA from 1 species
UACAGAGGGGGCAAGCGUUGUUCGGAAUUACUGGGCGUAAAGGGCGCGUAGGCGGCCUGUUAAGUCGAACGUGAAAUCCCCGGGCUCAACCCGGGAACUGCGUCCGAUACUGGCAGGCUUGAAUCCGGGAGAGGGAUGCGGAAUUCCUGGUGUAGCGGUGAAAUGCGCAGAUAUCAGGAGGAACACCGGUGGCGAAGGCGGGUCUCUGGGCAACAACUGACGCUGAGGAGCGAAAGUGUGGGGAGCGAACAGG